UUGGUUGGAAAAAUAUUGGUUGAGAAAAAGAUGAAAUAAGUGAGAAGUGGGAGGUGGCUGGAUUGGUAAGAUCCUUUCAGAAACAUUAGACUCGGAAAUAGAGAGAUUACUAGCUUCAAGAAGCUUACCAGAAGUAGUGUCAGAAUCUCUGUAAGAUUGCUGGACAACUCCAGACGUGUCCUUCAGAAGCAUUGCUUUCUGGUGCUCAC
rnacentral:lncRNA from 1 species